rnacentral:rRNA from 1 species
UACGUACGAGGCGAGCGUUAUCCGGAAUUACUGGGCGUAAAGCGCGCGCAGGCGGCGAGCUAGUCGGGCGUGAAAUCUCCCGGCCCAACUGGGAGGGGUCGCCCGAGACUGGCUGGCUUGAGGACUGCAGAGGUGGGUGGAAUUCCUGGUGUAGUGGUGAAAUGCGUAGAGAUCAGGAGGAACACCGGUGGCGAAGGCGGCCCACUGGGCAGUCACUGACGCUGAGGCGCGAAAGCUCGGGGAGCGAACGG